rfam:Astyanax mexicanus chromosome 6, whole genome shotgun sequence.
GUAGGUAUGGAGAUAUGGUUCCUAAAACAAUAGCUGGGAAGAUCUUUGGUUCUAUCUGCUCACUGAGUGGUGUGCUGGUGAUCGCUCUGCCAGUCCCCGUCAUCGUCUCCAAU